UGACCUGGCACAGAUAUCUACACACAUCCGGGAAGAACUGCAACACCAGUGUCCCCACACAGUACUGCAUGUGACACCCACUGAAAUUUCCCAUUUUCAGAGAAUGCUAGUGAGACCUCCUAGAGUGAUUCCAUGCCGUACUCGAGGGGGAAUGAGUUUGCGCUCCCUGAGGAUUUCAGUGCUGGCUUCCAGCCUGCUGUGAUGGGCGUGGGAGGUAGGUCGAGGUGUUGGGCAGGGCUGCCCAGGGUGGGGGCAGGAAGACAAGGGGG
rnacentral:lncRNA from 1 species